CCCCAAUAUGUGAGAGCUGAGAGCCCCCUCACACAAUGUGUGCAAACGGAAAUCACUUUUUCCAUAUAUCUGCUCUUUGUACCCUGGGGCGCCCUUCCCUCUUGCACAAAGAACUUUUUCUGGGCAUUUAACUGUUAAGCGAAGGCUUUUUUCCCCGUUUGCAAAGCCCCGGACACUCCGGGGACUGCCCUUUCCCAGGUCUCUAAAGGAGUUGGAUUGCUGGUGCUCUUCCCACCUUCCUAAAUUCUGCCAGAGACGCGCUCUUUGAAUAUCUUGAUUGCAAACAUUCACUAACAAGGCAAAACCUCACUCGUGGGUUUUACGUAUUUCAACGCAUUUCAACUCGUACCUCUCAGAAGGCCAGUGGGCAAAAGACCUUAUUUUGCCUUCACCACUGAAUUUUAAAACUCCUGGGGGACAAGGUCAAGGUCCUCCACAGAACCUGGGGCAACACAUGUGUGACUCAAGCACUGAGAAGACGGUGGGCGAGCGAGUGGAGAUAAGAAUGUCAGAGCUCAUCAUGUGCUUGUUCAUCUGUAACAAUAUCAUACAGAACAGACCUUGAGGAGCUCUAUAAGAGGUACACAGAGACACUGUUGUUCAGAAGAGAGAGCAAUCCUUUCCAGCUGAGAGGUGCCUAGAGGAAAGCUUCGAAGAGGAAGGACCGUUUGAGGUGAGCGUUGGAGAAUAGAGGAUUCUAGCAGGUAUGGUUACGUAAAAGGUUAGGGGAAAGGCAUGGCGUUAGCACUGUGGUGGAAGUAAGAAUAAAUACCACAUGAUCUGGAGCUUAUGUGGGCCA
rnacentral:lncRNA from 1 species